AUGGAGGGGCGGGAUUGCGACUCAGCAUCGGAGAGCUUCUCUAAGCACGUCAGUGGGCAAAUGUUCCGAGUCAAUGCCCUCCUUGUGGUGAACGCCAUCCUGAUGGGAGUCAUGGUUGGCACAGGUGCAUACGGCCAUCGCUAUCGCCACCAUCCACUAACCCGCUACAUCUUCUUGGGUGCCACUGCAUUGUUCAUUCCCAUAAUCUCCUAUGUCCUAUCUGCCAUUGGUAAUCAGAAUGGCAUUAUCCUUUUUGCCGCUGGAGAAAUCAUAAUAGGCCAGUGUGAUCCAAGUAGACACAUGAACCUAGUCUUAUUAUGGACUGGCCUUGUUCAAAUGGUUGGUAUCAGCACCACUUUGGUAGUGGUUAGUGAUCCUAGAGAAGGGCGAAACAUUGGCCCAUCUGGGGUACUACUUGUGCAGGCAAUGUGGACUUCCUACCUUAUGAUCUAUAACAUAGGAUUGAAUUAUGAUGUAUCAUCCUACAAUAAUACUCGUAGCUACCUCAAGUGGUCUCUGGUAUAUGCAUUUUCUCUAGAAGGAUUGAAGGUUAUCCCACCAUUUGCUCUUACCUUUGCCAAGUUACUUUUCAAGUGUUUUGCAUGGUACAAGGCCAGAAAAUCAUUAGCAAUUAAUUGGAUGCAAUCCUCGUCUUAUUGUUGGAUACAUGGAGGAGCUACAAGACACUGA
rnacentral:rRNA from 1 species